rnacentral:rRNA from 1 species
UCAAGUGAAGAAGCGCAUACGGUGGAUGCCUUGGCAGUCAGAGGCGAUGAAAGACGUGGUAGCCUGCGAAAAGCUUCGGGGAGUCGGCAAACAGACUUUGAUCCGGAGAUCUCUGAAUGGGGGAACCCACCUAGGAUAACCUAGGUAUCUUGUACUGAAUCCAUAGGUGCAAGAGGCGAACCAGGGGAACUGAAACAUCUAAGUACCCUGAGGAAAAGAAAUCAACCGAGAUUCCCUUAGUAGUGGCGAGCGAACGGGGAUUAGCCCUUAAACUUCAUUGAUUUUAGCGGAACGCUCUGGAAAGUGCGGCCAUAGUGGGUGAUAGCCCCGUACGCGAAAGGAUCUUUGAAGUGAAAUCGAGUAGGACGGAGCACGAGAAACUUUGUCUGAACAUGGGGGGACCAUCCUCCAAGGCUAAAUACUACUGACUGACCGAUAGUGAACCAGUACCGUGAGGGAAAGGCGAAAAGAACCCCGGAGAGGGGAGUGAAAUAGAACCUGAAACCGUAUGCGUACAAGCAGUGGGAGCCUACUUGUUAGGUGACUGCGUACCUUUUGUAUAAUGGGUCAGCGACUUAUAUUCAGUGGCAAGCUUAACCGUAUAGGGUAGGCGUAGCGAAAGCGAGUCUUAAUAGGGCGUUUAGUCGCUGGGUAUAGACCCGAAACCGGGCGAUCUAUCCAUGAGCAGGUUGAAGGUUAGGUAACACUGACUGGAGGACCGAACCCACUCCCGUUGAAAAGGUAGGGGAUGACUUGUGGAUCGGAGUGAAAGGCUAAUCAAGCUCGGAGAUAGCUGGUUCUCCUCGAAAGCUAUUUAGGUAGCGCCUCAUGUAUCACUCUGGGGGGUAGAGCACUGUUUCGGCUAGGGGGUCAUCCCGACUUACCAAACCGAUGCAAACUCCGAAUACCCAGAAGUGCCGAGCAUGGGAGACACACGGCGGGUGCUAACGUCCGUCGUGAAAAGGGAAACAACCCAGACCGCCAGCUAAGGUCCCAAAGUUGUGGUUAAGUGGUAAACGAUGUGGGAAGGCUUAGACAGCUAGGAGGUUGGCUUAGAAGCAGCCACCCUUUAAAGAAAGCGUAAUAGCUCACUAGUCGAGUCGGCCUGCGCGGAAGAUGUAACGGGGCUCAAACCACACACCGAAGCUGCGGGUGUCACGUAAGUGACGCGGUAGAGGAGCGUUCUGUAAGCCUGUGAAGGUGAGUUGAGAAGCUUGCUGGAGGUAUCAGAAGUGCGAAUGCUGACAUGAGUAACGACAAUGGGUGUGAAAAACACCCACGCCGAAAGACCAAGGGUUCCUGCGCAACGUUAAUCGACGCAGGGUUAGUCGGUUCCUAAGGCGAGGCUGAAAAGCGUAGUCGAUGGGAAACAGGUUAAUAUUCCUGUACUUCUGGUUACUGCGAUGGAGGGACGGAGAAGGCUAGGCCAGCUUGGCGUUGGUUGUCCAAGUUUAAGGUGGUAGGCUGAAAUCUUAGGUAAAUCCGGGGUUUCAAGGCCGAGAGCUGAUGACGAGUCGUCUUUUAGAUGACGAAGUGGUUGAUGCCAUGCUUCCAAGAAAAGCUUCUAAGCUUCAGGUAACCAGGAACCGUACCCCAAACCGACACAGGUGGUCGGGUAGAGAAUACCAAGGCGCUUGAGAGAACUCGGGUGAAGGAACUAGGCAAAAUGGCACCGUAACUUCGGGAGAAGGUGCGCCGGCUAGGGUGAAGGAUUUACUCCGUAAGCUCUGGCUGGUCGAAGAUACCAGGCCGCUGCGACUGUUUAUUAAAAACACAGCACUCUGCAAACACGAAAGUGGACGUAUAGGGUGUGACGCCUGCCCGGUGCCGGAAGGUUAAUUGAUGGGGUUAGCGCAAGCGAAGCUCUUGAUCGAAGCCCGGUAAACGGCGGCCGUAACUAUAACGGUCCUAAGGUAGCGAAAUUCCUUGUCGGGUAAGUUCCGACCUGCACGAAUGGCGUAACGAUGGCGGCGCUGUCUCCACCCGAGACUCAGUGAAAUUGAAAUCGCUGUGAAGAUGCAGUGUAUCCGCGGCUAGACGGAAAGACCCCGUGAACCUUUACUGUAGCUUUGCACUGGACUUUGAGCCUGCUUGUGUAGGAUAGGUGGGAGGCUUUGAAGCGUGGACGCCAGUUCGCGUGGAGCCAUCCUUGAAAUACCACCCUGGCAUGCUUGAGGUUCUAACUCUGGUCCGUGAUCCGGAUCGAGGACAGUGUAUGGUGGGCAGUUUGACUGGGGCGGUCUCCUCCUAAAGAGUAACGGAGGAGUACGAAGGUGCGCUCAGACCGGUCGGAAAUCGGUCGCAGAGUAUAAAGGCAAAAGCGCGCUUGACUGCGAGACAGACACGUCGAGCAGGUACGAAAGUAGGUCUUAGUGAUCCGGUGGUUCUGUAUGGAAGGGCCAUCGCUCAACGGAUAAAAGGUACUCCGGGGAUAACAGGCUGAUACCGCCCAAGAGUUCAUAUCGACGGCGGUGUUUGGCACCUCGAUGUCGGCUCAUCACAUCCUGGGGCUGAAGCCGGUCCCAAGGGUAUGGCUGUUCGCCAUUUAAAGUGGUACGCGAGCUGGGUUUAGAACGUCGUGAGACAGUUCGGUCCCUAUCUGCCGUGGACGUUUGAGAUUUGAGAGGGGCUGCUCCUAGUACGAGAGGACCGGAGUGGACGAACCUCUGGUGUUCCGGUUGUCACGCCAGUGGCAUUGCCGGGUAGCUAUGUUCGGAAAAGAUAACCGCUGAAAGCAUCUAAGCGGGAAACUUGCCUCAAGAUGAGAUCUCACUGGGAACUUGAUUCCCCUGAAGGGCCGUCGAAGACUACGACGUUGAUAGGCUGGGUGUGUAAGCGUUGUGAGGCGUUGAGCUAACCAGUACUAAUUGCCCGUGAGGCUUGACCAU